AACUGAUACUACCUGCGGGAACCUGCGGAGGGAUCAUUAACGAGUUUUGAAGUGGGAUUGAUGCUGGCCUUCCGAGGCAUGUGCUCGUCCUCGCUCAUCCACUCACAACACCUGUGCACUGUUGAGGUGUGGCCCCCCUUCAAUGGAGCCGUUCCCCCCUAGGGGGUCGAGCCGGGGUCAGGCCUUCUUCGUCACAAACAACUUGUAAUGUCUAUUCGGGAUGUAAUGCUUCAUGUUAAU
rnacentral:misc_RNA from 1 species